rnacentral:rRNA from 1 species
UACGGAGGAUGCGAGCGUUAUCCGGAUUUAUUGGGUUUAAAGGGUGCGCAGGCGGCACGGCAAGCCGGCGGUCAAAUCGCGGGGCUCAACCCCGCCCAGCCGUCGGAACUGCCGGGCUAGAGUGGGCGAGAAGUGCGCGGAAUGCGUGGUGUAGCGGUGAAAUGCAUAGAUAUCACGCAGAACCCCGAUUGCGAAGGCAGCAUGCCGGCUUCCUACUGACGCUGAAGCACGAAAGCGUGGGGAUCGAACAGG